UAUUUUGAUACAGCUUCUGACAUCCAUCGUCAAAAUUUGUAAUUACCACGAGAGUUACGGCUUUUCCUUAGUAAUGUUUAUCUAUUUACUUUAAUUGUCUUUUGUAACAGCCAAUCAGUUGGCAAGUGUCUACGGCAAGAGUUUACCUCUUUGGCACUUCAUAGAAGAAUAAAAAUUGACAUCGUACCUACCAAAAUAUCGCUGUCACGUGUCAAAGGGUAUUUUAAUAUUAUGGGUCGACGAUUGUUAAUCUAAUGAAAGAAUGCGAAAUAAAAUUGAGUCCUGUCCAUGUUCCUGAAGAAAAUACAACAAAUAUGAUUAAUUUCUCCCCAAAAGAAAGUCAACAAGCUACAACUUCCUAUAAAUAUCGAGUCAGAAGAAAAUCAAAUUUUUUUCUUAAAAACGGUGUUUGGUGGCUCGUCUUUCUUGGCCUGAGUGGUUCCAUAUUAGCAUUUGUAAUUCUUUUAGCGAAAUUUUUGAGUCAAUUGCAUUAAAUAUAAAAUAAAAGGUUUUUGUUUUCUUCUAUCAUUUCAAUUCCUAUUUUAUUCAUAUUCUUAC